ensembl:lincRNA
UUUAUUCUGCCAGUGUUUUUUACUUGUGUAAUUAGGAUUGUGCCCAUUUAUUAUUCUCUUCUUUCUUUUAGGUUCAUGGAGCCUUUGGAACCACUCUUUAUCUAGAGAUUUUGGGAACUGAAGCUUUUAGUGGGUCAACGAAGGCCAGAAGAUAAUAGUCCAAGGUCCAGAAGACUGUCUUGACCAUUUAGGGGUGUCUGGCAAGUAGUAGAUGUGUAACACAUGUGUUGACUGACCGACUGAAUGAAUAAGCUGUCCUCUCCAGCAUUCCUCAUAGAUCCUCAUAGCCAUUCAUGUAUUUCAUUGGUUACAAUUGAUGGAUCCUGUGGCUUUUCUAUCUGCACAGGGAAGGAAUUUACAACCAGAAGAAACAAAGCACUUAAACAUUCUGGAGAUUUACUUCAUGACUUCUUUUAAUUAAAGUUAAUUCCUUAUUAAAGAGGUACUCAUAUUUCCAAUCCCGCAUCUUCUUUCUCAAAGAGAGCACUCACACUAUUGUUUGUGCAACUGCAAGUAUUUGAUGGGUUUAAAUUAUUGCGUUGUCAUUAUUUUUUUAAAGUCAUCAUUUUUUUAAAGUUAUUUUCUUUCAUGUGAAUAUCUAAUUCAAAAUCUCUCUGCAUGUUAAUAUCCUGAUUUGUAGGAGAGAUCAGUGGUCAUAGGGUUAUUCUGAGAACUCAAUGUCUUAAGAAGUAAAGGAGUUAAACUCUCCCUGGCAAAGAGGAAAAACUCAGUCUAUGCUCCCCACAUGGUGGUUGUUGCUGGAAGUGCUUCUGUCCCUGUUGUCUUUGAUCCUCCAGGACCUACUUGAAUCAUAUUCUUGCAAGAACAUGAAGAUGAAUGGACUACUUUUGUUUCUUGUGCUCUGGUAGAAUCCACAAAGAUUAGUCCAACUGUUAGAAUGAUCUCUGAGGAGAUAAAUAUGAGAUUUUAUUUCAGAAGUUUCAGUCUUUGAGAGCCUUCCCCUUGGGAGCAGAAGAUGAGCAUUUGGAGUACUCCAAGGUAGAAUAAUGAAUAUUUGCUCUUCCUUUCAUUUCUUACAAUUUUCCUGACCCAGAAGCAAUAGUGGAUUCUUCUGUCAUUCUGGUAUUCCCUAGCUAUUCUUGUGGGCACCUUGCCUGAUUCAGUUAUGCUUUAUAAAUUUUAAAAUACAGUUGGAGGCUCCAUACUACUUUAUCUCAGAGUCUGAAAAAUAAAAAAAAAAAAUGAGAAAUACAGUGGAAGCCUGUAUUAGUUAAGAUUAAAUGCAGCUACAUAUGAAAGAAACUCAAAUAGCAGCAGCUUAACUAAGAAAGAUCAUUUUUUCCCCUCUCACAUAAAAAAUGAGCUGUGGUUGGCAGCCCAGGGCCAUUAAUCAAUGGCCCAGUGUAUUCUUCCUUUCUGCUCUUCCAUCCUUAGUGUGACUUCUGUGCUCAAGAUUGCCUUACUGUUGUGGGAUUGACAUUGUAUCUCCAGCCAUCAUGUUAAUGUUCUAGGCAGCAGAAUGGAGGAAAGGAGAGGAGCAAAGUGUUUAUCCUCACGGAAUAAGUUCCUUUUAAAAAGCUUUGUGAGGGGGCGCCUGCGUGGCUCAGUGGGUUAAGCCUUGCCUUCAGCUCAGGUCAUGAUCUCUGGGGCCUGGGAUUGAGCUCUGCAUCGGGCUCUCUGCUCAGCGGGGAGCCUGUUUCCCUUCUCUCUCUGCCUGCCUCUCUGCCUACUUGUGAUCUCUGUCAAAUAAAUAAAAUCUUAAAAAAAAAAAAAGCUUUGUGAGAAGCUGUACACUGCAUCU